CGUCGGGUUCGUGGUGUGGAAGAGUAAGUGGGGUAAAGGCAGAGGGCUGCGGAGGCUGGGGGCUGGGGGCUGUGGGGGGAGCCCAGAUGCCCUCGGGAGCCUCCCUGCUCCCCCCGCUGUGAGCCCGUUGCUGACGUUCCUUUCUGUCUGCAGGGAAGGGGCAGCAGGGUUACAGAGCGGCACCAGGCCUCGACCGGGGAAGCGGUGGCUCAGCCGCAGGGAGCGAACGUUCCACCUGAGCACUGUGCUUGCUUCAGCCGGCCCCGCGUGCCGGUGGGGUUUGUGGACGGGCGUAGCUCCGCUUUCUCAGCCUCUGGAAUCUCCUUGGGCUUCCGCUCAGCAGGGGGUUGGAACAGGAUGAUCGUGGAGGUCCUGGUCAGGCCAGGCUGUUCCAUGAUUCCAUGA
rnacentral:lncRNA from 1 species